GAGGGUAUAGCCCAGAGGUAGAGCACCUGCUUAGCAUGUGCAAGGUCUUGGGUUUAAUCCCCAGUACCUCCA
rnacentral:tRNA from 1 species